rnacentral:rRNA from 1 species
UGGGGAAUAUUGCACAAUGGGCGCAAGCCUGAUGCAGCCAUGCCGCGUGUAUGAAGAAGGCCUUCGGGUUGUAAAGUACUUUCAGCGGGGAGGAAGGGAGUAAAGUUAAUACCUUUACUCAUUGACGUUACCCGCAGAAGAAGCACCGGCUAACUCCGUGCCAGCAGCCGCGGUAAUACGGAGGGUGCAAGCGUUAAUCGGAAUUACUGGGCGUAAAGCGCACGCAGGCGGUUUGUUAAGUCAGAUGUGAAAUCCCCGGGCUCAACCUGGGAACUGCAUCUGAUACUGGCAAGCUUGAGUCUCGUAGAGGGGGGUAGAAUUCCAGGUGUAGCGGUGAAAUGCGUAGAGAUCUGGAGGAAUACCGGUGGCGAAGGCGGCCCCCUGGACGAAGACUGACGCUCAGGUGCGAAAGCGGGGGGAGCAAACAGG